GAAAUGCGAUAAGUAAUGUGAAUUGCAGAAUUCAGUGAAUCAUCGAAUCUUUGAACGCACAUUGCGCUCGCCAGUAUUCUGGCGAGCAUGCCUGUUCGAGCGUCAUUUCAACCAUCAAGCUCUGCUUGCGUUGGGGAUCCGCGGCUGCCCGCGGUCCCUCAAAAACAGUGGCGGGCUCGCUAGUGACACCGAGCGUAGUAACUCUACAUCGCUAUGGUCGUGCGGCGGGUUCUUGCCGUAAAACCCCCAAUUUCUAAGGUUGACCUCGGAUCAGGUAGGAAUACCCGCUGAACUUAAGC
rnacentral:misc_RNA from 1 species